UGGAGUGGAAGCGACAAAAAGGAUACGGGGGAGGUUCACAUCAAUAUUAAACCAGAACAUCUAAUCGAGUCCUUAUAACUAGCUAGCAGUUCACAAUCCAUUCACGGGCAACAUUUUUAAAACAAACGUUCAAAGCAAAUCACGGAUUUGGCUCAACAAACCUCCCGACUUAAUACGAUUUUGUGGACUCGAUUACAAAGGAUCUACGGGAGCCUGAAAUUGUUUUGUAGUCCCAAGCCGUGGAGUGGGCGGGGGGUUCGCAGUUGAUGAGAACAUUCCGCACACCCCUCCCUCCCUGCCUCCAAGCUUUAGCCCCAGCCCUAUCACCAUGGCGAUGAGCAGUGACCCCAGAUGCGUGCAGGCGGACCUGGACCCCGACUUCUCCCAGAAUAAGGUUGCCGACAAGAUGGCUGCCUUCAUCAUGACGGAUCCAUCCACCAAUGGUCUGAGGAAUGGGGCAGGGCUCAAGAAGCCUCCACCCCGACAGCCACACCUCUCUGGCAGGAAGAUAUCUCUACGAGAGAGGGACAUAUCUGUCAGCGGGGGUGGGGCAGAACGGUUCUUGUACAUUUAGCUGUGGGUCACCCAACGGCCCACCAUCGAGUCCACACAGAUUUGUUAUUGUUAGAAACCCAAAAAGAAAAGCAAGAAUGACUCUUUCUCUGCUGAGAAUCAGCACCCUAACACUGUGGCUGCUGCUGCAACUACAGGUAGUGAAAAAUGUUUCCCCCACCUCGUCGCUUUUCAAGAGGAUGUUAUCGUUCUUUAGAAGGCAAUGCUCAAAUCAUCAGUAAAGCCUG